rnacentral:rRNA from 1 species
UGAGGAAUAUUGGACAAUGGGCGAGAGCCUGAUCCAGCCAUGCCGCGUGCAGGAAGACUGCCCUAUGGGUUGUAAACUGCUUUUAAACGGGAAGAAACACCCCCUCGUGAGGGGGCUUGACGGUACCGUAAGAAUAAGGAUCGGCUAACUCCGUGCCAGCAGCCGCGGUAAUACGGAGGAUCCAAGCGUUAUCCGGAAUCAUUGGGUUUAAAGGGUCCGUAGGCGGAUAACUAAGUCAGUGGUGAAAGUCUGUAGCCCAACUAUAGAAUUGCCAUUGAUACUGGUUGUCUUGAAUUAUUAUGAAGUGGUUAGAAUAAGUAGUGUAGCGGUGAAAUGCAUAGAUAUUACUUAGAAUACCAAUUGCGAAGGCAGAUCACUAAUAAUAUAUUGACGCUGAUGGACGAAAGCGUGGGGAGCGAACAGGAUUAGAUACCCUGGUAGUCCACGCCGUAAACGAUGGAUACUAGCUGUUCGGUUUUCGGACUGAGUGGCUAAGCGAAAGUGAUAAGUAUCCCACCUGGGGAGUACGUUCGCAAGAAUG